UAAACUCAAGUUACACUCUUACGAAAUAAAUAAUAACAACGCAGAAUUAGGUAAAGAGAAGAAUCGCGAAAGUCGUUCAGAACCUUGCAAGUAAAAUGGAUGCCGCUGAGGGCUUGGAACAGCUUUUCGCAGCGCAUUCGGCCGUGCCUGCGUUAGCCGUGUUGCAGCUACUACGGAAGGACUUGAGCCAGCAGCAAGCUCAAAUUCUGUUUAAGAACCACCAGCAUUGUCUUCAGAUGGGAACAUGUAGUUUUGGAUGGCGCGGGCGAGCAGCGUACGCAUUGCGCACAGGUACCGAGGUGCAGCGUCUCAGGAUGGAUUUCAGCCAACAAAGCCUCAAGAGCUGCUGCACAACCACCGGUGUGUCUUCAGUUGGGCACGUGUAGUCGAGCAUCGUAUGCAUUGCACACAGAAACCAAGGUGCAGCGUCUCUGUAACAUCGCCAGCAUAUCCGGUACGCGGUGGCAGGCUUGCCGAGCACGAAAUGAAGGGGGGUCGCAUCUCACCAUUCAACUAAGCAUGCAUGUGCUCGGUUGAAUGCUCGGUAGCAUGCGAGUUUACCUAUCAGGAUGUUUGUUUGCAUAUAUCCCUCCAAGUGAGAGGGCUAGGACCUAUGCUGAUGUUCGUUACAAGAAGUGAACUGAGGACUGAUGCUACACGUCAUGUAUACGCGUUGCUUAGCUUGCAACGAGACGCGCCCACGAUGAAAGCUUCAGCUACACUCACAAUACAUUAUACUGCUACACUAUUCUCUCCAGUCCUACCACAUUAUAUUUCACCGACGUACUUCCGCACCUUCCACAUCACCAUACGUGCUUUGGAAACGCGGGCAGCUGCUUCACAAGGGCCCCCAUCUUUUUGGAAGGUUUAUAAUUCUAAUAUAAUAUUGUGAAAUUGCAGUGCAUUCGGGCCUGUCGGCGGGCCGUAUUCUUGCAAUUCUAUGACGCGGCCUUUGGGCCAUAGGGCCGGUCAUCCGUGAACAGCACGUUUGGCAAACGAAGCAAGCCAGGAGCGUUCGGCGGGUUACACAAUACUCAUAUGUAGUUACCGCAAAUUAUAAUUCUCUGCAGAAAACAAUUGUUUCGGAAAUUAUGUCGGUGCGUUGCUGCAUGGACAGGGGCGACUGAUCAUCCGCCAUUCCUAAAUCGCGCCUAUCGAGUCAAGGAAUGCGAGCGGAAACGUGCUGGGCAAUAGUACUAUUGUGCUCGAGGGCUAACGUAACUUCAAAGUGAGCAAUUCAGUGUACGGGCCGAAACCUUACUGCCAAUGCCGAAAUAGUUUCCGUUUUUUGGACCCUUCUGCGAAACCUGCCGGAACCUGCCGGAACCUGCCGAAACCCUGAAAAUGCUGUAUUUUAUGACGUCCAUGGUAUGCAAACGUUGUUCGUGGGCCCUAUGUGCCUUUGCGCCUC
rnacentral:lncRNA from 1 species